rnacentral:rRNA from 1 species
AGAGAGAGACAUGCGCGCAUAUCAAUAAGCGGAGGAAAAGAAACUAACAAGGAUUCCCUUAGUAACGGCGAGUGAAGCGGGAAGAGCUCAAAUUUGAAAUCUUCAAGGUUCUACCUUGACGAAUUGUAGUUUGAUAGAAGUGUUUUCUGUUAGUGGAGUGGCAAAAGUUCUUUGGAAUAGGACAUCAUAGAGGGUGAGAAUCCCGUAUUUGGUUAUUCCUCCUAGCGUUGUGAUACACUUUCAACGAGUCGGAUUGUUUGGGAAUGCAGUCCAAAAUGGAUGGUAAAUUUCAUCUAAAGCUAAAUAUUGGCGAGAGACCGAUAGCGAACAAGUACCGUGAGGGAAAGAUGAAAAGAACUUUGAAAAGAGAGUUAAACAGUACGUGAAAUUGUCAAAAGGGAAGCGUUUGACACCAGUGUUGUUUUUCCGAAAAUCAAUUACGAAUGUUUUAGUUUUUGAGGAGUUAUGACUUCAUCGGCUUGCUCCUUUCUUUAUGAAACUUUCUUAAUGCACUUUUCGGUUAACAAGUCAACAUCAAUUUCUUUUGUUGUAAAAGGGUAUGAGGAAGGUGGCUUUCUUUUCGGAGAAAGUGUUUAUAGCCUCGUGCCUCUGCAAUCGGAGAGAUUGAGGUCUGCAGCGUAGAUCCUUCGGGGUUAGACUACAGUUUGUGCUAAGUUAUAGCUUUUCAUAGACAACUUGUUGACUAUGUUUAGUCUUGUAGCUUACUCGCUGACGCUAUUUUACCUACGCUUAGGAUGUUGAUAGUCACAGCGUGUAC